UAUGUGCCAAAUUUACUUCCACAGCUAGAUCACCCAGAACCUCCAGGAACCAAGGGAACCAAGAAGAUUGGCUUUUGUGAUUAUACCCAGGCCACCCAUGAAUAAGUCCAUUGAGCAAGGGGUAAGAAACAGCUAUUCAGUCUAUAAAUAUCCUCAAGGCUGGCCUGCAAAGCCAAUGAUGUCAGAGAAAGUGAACAGACAUCUCCAAAGAGACAAGUUCAGUAUGGAGAAGGCCAGGCAUAAAGGAUAACUUCCCCUCUGUCAUUAUGUUUCUAUACUUGAUGCAGUAGGGCUGGUGAAAUGUAUCUUUCCCAGCACUGCCUUACAAAGAACUAGUCCUUAUGAGAAACUCCCUGGGAUCCCCCUGAGGAGCAUCAGGUGUGUCUGCAAUAGCUCCAUCAGCAAUGAGAUCACUGUUUUGUGUAGAGAAUGUUUGGAUCCCUCCAAGCAAGGAGUGCUGGUAUGGUCCAUCUCCUAGGAGAGAUGAAUGGCGUGGUUGUGAAAUUGCCUGGCCAGCUAACCCAGACAUAAUGGAAGACAAAACAACUGAAUUUUUUUUUGGUCCCUGAACUAAUUGCUUAUUGAAAUGCACACAAACACGUCUUCUUUCCUCUUCUUCAGGCCUCUCCCAGUUAUUCUGGGUACUGCAAUGAUAAAAGAAAGUAAGGUCACAUCAUCAAAUCUCUGCCAAUUGAAACACAUCUAAUGGCGAGACGGCAUGUCUGAAGCAAAUGGAUAAAAAUCUCAUUUCUAAGCUAUUGGAUCCAAAAUUAUGCAGAUUACAAUCAAAUCCCUUUUGGUUGUUGUUGUUGGGUUUUUGUGGGGUUUCUUAAAGGCAUACAUCCAGUGAUUUUUUUUAAUCCCUAAAGUUGGGGGAUUUAAAUCCUAGGUAAGGAAGGAACCUCACAAAAUUCAUUUUGAAGCUACAAUUAAGAACCAAAUGGUCUACUGUUAUUUUUUUAAAAUGGCAGUUCAGAUCAAAGAAAGCCAUAGAGAGGAAAAGAAAAAGGUUUUCCCUGGCAGGUAAUUGAUGGGAUUUUUGAGCAAGAGGGUGAGAGGUGUGAACAGGAAUAUGGGUGAGGAAGGCCUGGAAGGCUGAAAGGAGUAAGACCUUUGGAGAGAAGAGGAAAUUCCUUUGAUGAAAGGUCCCUGAUAUCCCCGGUGAUUCAAAUCUUCCACAUAACAAUCUCAUUCAUUGUACCUACUUCAGGUCUCAGCUCUGUGCCCAUUAAUUUGACUCCCAAAGGAAAGAGCACAAUUUGGGAGGGGAAAGGACUUUUUUUUUAACACCCCUGCUUUUCCAUUUGAUUGCCAUACUUUCCUUACACAAAAGUCAGAGAUCUGAGGAAGACAGAGUUGACCUUGACAGUCUCUUGAGGUAUUCACAGAUAGCUAAGCCCUGCUGAACUGGUGUUCAGGAAGAGAAGGCAGGGGUGUGGAGGGUGGGGGUUGAUGGUGGCAAGUUCCUUAUUUGCAUUCAAAAAACAAUGGAUCUUGGAUGGCUUCUGGGUCAGGAUCAGAAUGUGUGAUCCUGCUUUGUCAUGGUAGGCAAGCAAAAAUCAUGUAAAAAUUUGGAAAAGUGACUUGUACUGAGCUACCUUAUUUCUAAUUUAAUUAAAACCGAAACAAAAAUAAAAAGGAGGUGGGGAGGGUGGUGCA
ensembl:lncRNA